rnacentral:tRNA from 2 species
GGGGCUGUAGCUCAGUUGGGAGAGCGUCUGAAUGGCAUUCAGAAGGUCGUCGGUUCGAUCCCGAUCAGCUCCACCA